rnacentral:ribozyme from 2 species
CAAUUAAAACGGCCACACCGUCAUGGGCGGUGCGAGGGUCCGAAGCCCCUAUAAACAGUUGACGGGUUG